rnacentral:rRNA from 1 species
GGCUCAGAACGAACGCUGGCGGCAGGCCUAACACAUGCAAGUCGAACGCCCCCUUCGGGGGGAGUGGCGCACGGGUGAGUAACGCGUGGGAACCUACCCCGGGGUACGGAAUAACCGCUGGAAACGGCGGCUAAUACCGUAUACGACCGCGAGGUGAAAGAGUCAUCGCCCUGGGAUGGGCCCGCGUCCGAUUAGCUGGUUGGUGGGGUAACGGCCCACCAAGGCUGCGAUCGGUAGCUGGUCUGAGAGGAUGAUCAGCCACACUGGGACUGAGACACGGCCCAGACUCCUACGGGAGGCAGCAGUGGGGAAUCUUGGACAAUGGGCGCAAGCCUGAUCCAGCCAUGCCGCGUGGGUGAAGAAGGCCUUAGGGUUGUAAAGCCCUUUCAGUCGUGACGAUGAUGACGGUAGCGACAGAAGAAGCCCCGGCCAACUCCGUGCCAGCAGCCGCGGUAAUACGGAGGGGGCGAGCGUUGUUCGGAAUUACUGGGCGUAAAGGGCGCGUAGGCGGACGGCCAAGUCAGAGGUGAAAGGCCCGGGCUCAACCUGGGACGUGCCUUUGAAACUGGUUGUCUCGAGUGCGGGAGAGGGUGACGGAAUUCCCAGUGUAGAGGUGAAAUUCGUAGAUAUUGGGAAGAACACCGGUGGCGAAGGCUGGUAACUCUGGCCCGCUUACUGACUUCUGA